CAGAGAGAGAGGGGGGGAAAGACAGGCACAUACACACACACUUUGUCUCUCUCUCUCUCAUAGACACACACACAGAGAGAGAGAGAGAGAGAGAGAGAGAGAGAGAGAGAGAGAGAGAGAGAGAUACACACACAGUUUCUCUCAUACACACACACACGCACAUAAAUGUUCCAGAUAUCCAACCAUCAGAAACUGUGGGUAAACUUUCUACAGUAGGGGUAAAACUUGUUCCACUACGACCUGUUCCUGACCCCUGACCUCUUCCCCUCGUUUCCCUCCUUAGUCCCUCUCUCCAUACACAUCUCUCUUCCUCCCUCUCUCCUCACAUCUCUCUUCCUCCCUCUCUCCUCACAUCUCUUCCUCCCUCUCUCCAUACACAUCUCUCUUCCUCCCUCUCUCCUCACAUCUCUCUUCCUCCCUCUCUCCUCACACAUCUCUCUUCCUCCCUCUCUCCUCACACCUCUCUUCCUCCCUCUCUCCUCACACCUCUCUCUUCCUCCCUCUCUCCUCACUAAUCUCUCUUCCUCCCUCUCUCCUCACACAUCUCUCUUCCUCCCUCUCUCCUCAACCUCUCUUCCUCCCUCUCUCCUCACACCUCUCUUCCUCCCUCUCUCCUCACACAUCUCUCUUCCUCCCUCUCUCCUCACAUCUCUCUUCCUCGCUCUCUCCUAACAGAUCUCUCUUCCUCCCCCUCUCUUCCUCCCUCUCUCCUCACACAUCUCUCUUCCUCCCUCUCUCCUCACAUCUCUCUUCCUCCCUCUCUCCUCACAUCUCUCUUCCUCCUUCUCUCCUCACACAUCUCUCUUCCUCCCUCUCUCUUCCUCCUUCUCUCCUCACACAUCUCUCUUCUUCCCUCUCUCUUCCUCCUUCUCUCCUCACAUCUCUCUUCCUCCCUCUCUCCUAACAGAUCUCUCUUCCUCCCCCUCUCUUCCUCCUUCUUUCCUCACACAUCUCUCUUCCUCCCUCUCUCUUCCUCCCUCUCUCCUAACAGAUCUCUCUUCCUCCCCCUCUCUUCCUCCUUCUCUCCUCACACAUCUCUCUUCCUCCCUCUCUCCUCACACAUCUCUCUUCCUCCCUCUCUCCUCACACAUCUCUCUUCCUCCCUCUCUCCUCACACAUCUCUCUUCCUCCCUCUCUCCUCACAUAUCUCUCUUCCUCCCUCUCUCCUCACAUAUCUCUCUUCCUCCCUCUCUCCUCACACCUCUCUUCCUCCCUCUCUCCUCACACAUCUCUCUUCCUCCCUCUCUCCUCACACAUCUCUCUUCUCCCUCUCUCUUCCUCCCUCUCUCCUCACACAUCUCUCUUCCUCCCUCUCUCCUCACACAUCUCUCUUCCUCCCUCUCUUCCUCCCUCUCCACACACAUCUCUCUUCUCCCUCUCUCUUCCUCCCUCUCUCCUCACACACCUCUCUCCUCCUCUCUCCUCCUCUCCUCUCACACAUCUCUCUUUCUCCCUCUCUCCUCACACAUCUCUCUUCCUCCCUCUCUCCUCACACAUCUCUCUUCCUCCCUCUCUCUUCCUCCCUCUCUCCUCACACAUCUCUCUUCCUCCCUCUCUCCUCACACAUCUCUCUUCCUCCCUCUCUCUUCCUCCCUCUCUCCACACACAUCUCUCUUCUCCCUCUCUCUUCCUCCCUCUCUCCUCACACACCUCUCUUCCUCCCUCUCUCCUCACACAUCUCUCUUUCUCCCUCUCUCCUCACACAUCUCUCUUCCUCCCUCUCUCCUCACACAUCUCUCUUCCUCCCUCUCUCCAUACACAUCUCUCUUCCUCCCUCUCCUCACACGUCUCUCCUCCUCCCUCUCUCCUCACACAUCUCUCUUCCUCCCUCUCUCCUCACACAUCUCUCUUCCUCCCUCUCUCUUCCUCCCUCUCUCCUCACACAUCUCUCCUCCUCCCUCUCUCAAAAAUAAAGUUGCCAUUUUACAAGCAUA
ensembl:lncRNA